rnacentral:rRNA from 1 species
CUAAUACAUGCAAGUCGAGCGAGCGGAACCAACAGAUUUACUUCGGUAAUGACGUUGGGAAAGCGAGCGGCGGAUGGGUGAGUAACACGUGGGGAACCUGCCCCUAAGUCUGGGAUACCAUUUGGAAACAGGUGCUAAUACCGGAUAAUAAAGCAGAUCGCAUGAUCAGCUUUUGAAAGGCGGCGUAAGCUGUCGCUAAGGGAUGGCCCCGCGGCGCAUUAGCUAGUUGGUAAGGUAACGGCUUACCAAGGCGACGAUGCAUAGCCGAGUUGAGAGACUGAUCGGCCACAUUGGGACUGAGACACGGCCCAAACUCCUACGGGAGGCAGCAGUAGGGAAUCUUCCACAAUGGACGCAAGUCUGAUGGAGCAACGCCGCGUGAGUGAAGAAGGUUUUCGGAUCGUAAAGCUCUGUUGUUGGUGAAGAAGGAUAGAGGUAGUAACUGGCCUUUAUUUGACGGUAAUCAACCAGAAAGUCACGGCUAACUACGUGCCCAGCAGCCGCGGUAAUACGUAGGUGGCAAGCGUUGUCCGGAUUUAUUGGGCGUAAAGCGAGCGCAGGCGGAAAAAUAAGUCUAAUGUGAAGCCCUCGGCUUAACCGAGGAACUGCAUCGGAAACUGUUUUUCUUGAGUGCAGAAGAGGAGAGUGGAACUCCAUGUGUAGCGGUGGAAUGCGUAGAUAUAUGGAAGAACACCAGUGGCGAAGG